CGCUUGGUGCUAGCCUAGUUCUUGCCUAGCAUAGCACUCUCUGCAACUACAAGCUCUGCUUGCCCAUGCCGUAGGCUUCACUGCCCACUCAUCCUGCGUGGCUCUCUUCUGUAGGGACUCUCCUGCCACUCCUCGUAACCCAUUGGAUGGCUAGGUUUAGGAACUCCCCUGCCACUCUUCGCAGCCCAUUAGGUGGCUAGGUUAGGCUUCACUGCCCACUCAUCCUGCAUGGCUCUCUUCUGUAGGGACUCUCCUGCCACUCCUCGCAACCCAUUGGAUGGCUAGGUUUAGGGACUCUCCUGCCACUCUUCGCAACCCAUUAGGUGGCUAGGUUGUCGUUCCAACCUUGAGUCCGACUUUCUUUAGACGAACCCCUUCACAUGCCCUCGGCAAAGCUCAAGUCCAACCUUCUUGGUGGACACUCAACUUGAUGCCUUAAUUGCAUCCAUGGUAAGACCUAAGCAUGAUCAAGCCUAAUGUUCAUAGUCUAUGGCUUCAACUCUCUUGGAACAUGGCUGCACGACCUGGCAGACAUGGCUCAUCCUCUUGACCAUCCGACUUAUCGGCAUAUCCCUUCUUUAACUCAGCCUAGACUCUUUCAUGGCUGACAACCCUGGAUCAUCGCUUUGCAUAAACAAGCUACUUGACUGACAAGCUUCUGAUGUACUUCUCCAACUUUGCUUGACGUCCUUGUCAA
rnacentral:lncRNA from 1 species